AUUGUGAAUGUUUUCCUCUGAGAAUAGGCCAAACGCAGAGAAAAGUCAGAAAGCGAAGUGGGGAUGAAAGUCGGAGCAGCUUUUGAGAGCAGUCUAGCUGGAGCACUUCAAAUGGGUGACUGCUUCUGAAAGUUGUUCCCCUCGUGAAAAAAACAGGCUGGUACAAAUAUGAUUGCCCUUCUACGGAGCGGUUUGGAAGAUGAGACCUUCACUUUAACACAGGACUUGCUCAAGAGGAGAUAAAGUGACUGCAGACUCCUCCAGGUCUCUAAUGCAAUUGGUUUUCAAAAGCCCUCCUCCUCCUCACACCCCUUGAUGGGGUUAAACACCUCUGUGGAGACUGAAGGGAGGAAUGUUUUUAAUCUCCUUGAUUUAUUAAAAUCGUCUAAAGAUAGCCAGCUGUAACAGAUAAAACUGCUGCCCUCUGCACUUUAGAAGGAUCCUCCCCAAAACUGUUCUGCACGGAAAGUACUGGCAGUGGCUUAGUGACCUCUGGGAUGUGGUGGUACCUGCCUACCCAUUGAUGGCCAAAUCCAGCCCUGGCCAACUUUCAGCAGGGCUGCCUUCUGGCUCUCACAUUCCCCCAUCACUUUGCUCAUGGAGAUCUCAAUGGGGUUGGGCACCAAGCUUGCUGGGAAAACUGCUCCCAGGAGGAUUUCAAGCUUUGGGUGAUAACGUCAAGAGGAAGGAAGGGAGAAGGUUCUGGCAAAGUGAGACAAAGCAGGGGAAGGAUUUUCCCUGAAGGGAUUUUGUACUUUUGGCUUCUCACACCUCAAAAUCCUGCAAAGGGCUGGAGAGGAAAGGAUGUCUCAGGGGAGAACUAAGGCCUGGAUUAAAGCUCUGAAAAUUUGUCUUCUACCUUUUCCCACAUGCUCAAAUUAUUGUACUUGUGUGUGUGCACUCUUCUGGGGUCUCUUCAUGAAGAUUCCGUUCUCUGAUACCAUUAGCUUUUAAUCAUCACAGAACCAUAGAAUCACUUCCCCUCCCAUCUGCACUCUCAGGACCAUCAGAUGAGCUCUGGCCAACACAAUGCUGCAGAACCCCUUAUUUCAAGCUUUCUGUGGGAUAAGCUGAAAGCAGCACCUGGAUUCCUACCGCACACCUCCCCUGUGGGUAACAAAUGGCUGUGUCAGGGCAGAGUGGAACUGUUUGCCCUCCAGGCCAAGCCAGGGCUCUGCAGGACGUGACAGCUUUGAUUUGUGUCUGAGCAGGACUCAACAGAGACAAAAGACAGUUUGAAGAAUAAUGGAAUGGACGUGGCAGGCAGAACCAGCAGCUCUCUUAUCAGCUGGGGGAGGCAGAGCAGAUCUGAGGAGUGGAACAGACCAGGUACCAGGAACCAGAUCUUAGGGUUGCAUUCCUUACAUACAUGGAAUUUCCUGAAGUCCCCACUAAGUUCUCUUUGUAAAUUGAAAAUCUCAAAUCUGCAAGGAAAAAAAAAAAAAAAAAAAAAAAAAAAAGAGCCUUACUGAAGAAAAGAAAAAGUAAUUAAUUUCCUGUGCUUUAUUAACCUAUAAAGUAAUAUAAUAAAAAGAAACUCUUAUC
ensembl:lncRNA